GUCCACGCCGUAAACGAUGGGCACUAGGCGUCGGGGGAGCGACCCUCCCGGUGCCGUCGCUAACGCAGUAAGUGCCCCGCCUGGGGAGUACGGCCGCAAGGCUGAAACUCAAAGGAAUUGACGGGGCCCGCACAAGCGGUGGAGCAUGUGGUUUAAUUCGAAGCAACGCGAAGAACCUUACCUGGGCUUGACAUGCUGGUGUAAGCCGGUGGAAACAUCGGCCCCUCUUCGGAGCGCCAGCACAGGUGCUGCAUGGCUGUCGU
rnacentral:rRNA from 1 species